rnacentral:rRNA from 1 species
AUGGAGUGCCAUAGCAUGACUCAAUCUUGCUCUACUUUUGCUAUAAAAUAUUUCUGGCAGAUUCUUAACAUGAUAUUCAAUUUUGUCAAGCUUGUUGUAGUUGUUUCAUACAUGCUAUGUAUUUUCUCUUGCUGUAGGUAUGCUUGUUUUGUCAUGCAUUGCCUUGUGUUGAGUGCAUCAAGCUCACCAAGAUGCCCUCAUAAUGUCUGUUUUCUGCCAAGUCUGAAACCUGUUAACGAAACUUUCUAUGUUUACAUGGUUGCCAUCAUAUCUUCUUUUCCUUUUUGGCUUAUGGUCAGUAAGGGACUUUUGUCAUAUGCAUUUAUUAGAAUACUGCCAUGCCUUAUUUUGCUAUGUUAA